AUGGCGCUGGACAUCUUCCGGAGCGAGUGGAGGCCUUCUCUCACGAUAACUAUAAGCACGGCCCUCCUGUCCGUCGUCUCCGUCCUCCACGACCCCCUGCUCGACCUUCCCGUCCGCCGCGACGCCGCCCGGCUGUACAAGCGCGAGCGGGGUCUCUUCGAGCACAAGGCCAUGGACUGGACCCGCAGGUACGCCUCGGCGCCGGUCGCCUCCUUCUAUCCGGCGGGGACGGAGACGUUCGAGGAGGCGGCGGCGGCCAGCGGGGCAGUGGCACGUCGCCGUUCUUGCGGGGCAGGGCAAUGGCGCUCCUUCGCGGCUCGUCUCCCAUGCAUCCAGCCAUGA
rnacentral:rRNA from 1 species